UGUCCUCCAUAGGAGGUCUAUAUUGAGCAGAUUCUUUUUGGUGUUGGGUGGUGGAACUGGAGCGUGCUCCAUCCACUCCAUGCAUUGACCUGGUAUUGCAGUGCUUCCAGGACCGGUGC
rnacentral:snRNA from 1 species